rnacentral:lncRNA from 1 species
UCCUGGUACCUUUGAUAACUAUUGAUAUAAAUUCCGAUUCGCGACCGUCUCAUUUUGCAUGUGUAUUUGCCAGUAACCCGACUGUAAAUCACAAACUGAAAACAUCGAUGCAUUUGCCUAGCAAUCGUGACAGGAAACUAUUUCAGGGCGAUGCUAUGCAUCUUUGAUUGUACAUGGUUAAUUUUUCUGUAACCAAUGCACAAGUUCACAGUCCCAUCUUACUUUCUGACUAUAACAACCUCUGAUACAUAAGCAG